rnacentral:lncRNA from 1 species
CAUGGAUGAAGUGGAACUAAUUGGUUUUGGACUAUCUCCAAGACCUAUAAUGCAUCCUCUAGAGUGGCCUGGCCUGAGAAUAUGGAUCUAUCAUUUUAUACUAGGAAAAAAGAAAAGUAAUAGAUAUCAAUUUUACUGCUUGAGUAAUUUGAUGUAAAGUUCUAUGAAAGUUAUGAGCUAUAGACAUUGAAAGUUCAGGAAGUUUGCUCUCUCCUUAUAGAAUAAUUUAAGCAUUUCAAAUCUAAACCUGAUCCUUAUUUCCAAAAUGGAGCUCUUAAACCAACUUAAUUUAAAAUUUCUCUUUACUUGACCUAACCUAGCAUUAUGU